rnacentral:rRNA from 1 species
AUGCCACAUAGAAAUAUGUGUUGGACACAUCAGGGUGAUAAUCUUGAAUCAGAGGAAGGACAAGCUCAGCCUGAAAAUUACAAUAAUGGUGGCACUGGGAGUAAUUUAUCCAAUCAGGGCGUGCAAGUUGCUCUUGGAGUUCCAGGAAAUACUACUAGUGAUGGAGUCCAUGAUUCACGGAGUUACUAUGAGAGCAUUAAUAAUCAGCGCCAGCAUGCUCAGAAUUUAUACCCAUAUGGAGGCGUUGAUCCGAGUUUUGUCUACCCAUCGACUAUGUACAAUCCCGGUAUGCCAACACCAUCUGUGAACAGAUAUGUUCCUCAUGCAAGUUUUGGACAGGGCAAUCCACCACCCUCACCUUCAUAUCAUCAAGUUGCCACAGGAGCUAGGGAUGUGAGUAGCAGCAGUAGCAGUUUUGGUGAUGCUACCAGACAAUCCAUGAAAACGAGGAAUGCUGUAACUGAGAGUGGCCAUCAUUUUGAUCAUGGAUUUGCAAGCUCGAGUUCAUCUGCUCAUGUGCCUCAGAAUCCUGCACAAUGGACAUGGUGUGCUUCAUUUGAAUCACAUGGUGCACCAAAUGGCUCUUCUGCUGAUGGACCAAACAGGCCAUCACCAAUGGCUACUCACCCAGCAUUGGUGCGUCAUGGUAACUAUGUAUUUCCAGCUGGUCACAUGGGCCAGGGCAAUACAUGGACUACACACCCUGCAAAUGUUAUUGCUGAUGGAGUCCCACACUGGGCAUACAACAAUGCAGUCCACAAUCCUUCAGGUCAGUUUGCUCAUCCAGGAACAAUGGGCAUGCAAAAUGGUAGUCUUCAAGAUUACCAAGCUGGCCCUUCUGCUACUUUUCAUGGGCCUUUACCUCAUUUCAACCAGAUUCCUAUGCAUAGCAUGCAAACUCCUGCUAUGCUUAAUCAUAUUCAGAUGCAAGGGCCUCAGCGUCAAAGCAAUGUAGUGCAAGGUGCUAACCCUUCUGGAAUGGUGCAAGGUGCAAACCCUUCUGGGAUGGUGCAAGGCACAAACCCUUCUGGAAUGGUGCAAGGUGGAAACCCUUCUGGAAUGGUGCAAGGUGCAAACCCUGCUGGAAUGGUGCAAGGUGCAAAUCCUUCUCGAAGGGCGUUCACCUGGGAUCCAUGUCUGCCUUUCUCCAGUUCUGGACAUACUAAUGGACCUCCAGUUCAUGCAUUUUUUACAGAUCAAGUUUACAAUGGGAGUGUAAGACUUCUUCAGCAAGCUGCUAUGGCGACUAUGUCAACAUUUUAUGAUGCAAUACAUCUUAUUGACGAACAAUGGGAUAUGGGGCUAGAUAUAGACAGCAUGACCUAUGAGGACCUUCUAGCAUUGCAAGAACAGAUUGGAGAUGUCCAUACCGGUUUGCCAGAAAGGUACAUCCGUCAAAAUCUGAGGGUACGUCAGUAUGUUGUUCCCAGGGCAGCUCGCGGGUCCGAUCAGUCUGUGGAGAAGGAUGCUUGCAUUAUAUGCCAGGAGGAGUUUGAGGCGAGAGAACUUGUAGGAACCCUCGACUGCGGUCACAAGUACCAUGAGGCGUGCAUCAAGCAGUGGCUGAUGGUGAAGAACUUGUGCCCCAUCUGCAAGGCAACAGCUUUGCCAGCAGAGUGA